GACCGCGUAGCUCAGUUGGAAGAGCAUUGGGCUAGCAUUCCAAAGGUCGUAGGUUCGAAUCCCACCAUGGCCG
rnacentral:tRNA from 1 species